rnacentral:rRNA from 1 species
UACGUAGGGGGCAAGCGUUGUCCGGAUUUAUUGGGCGUAAAGAGCGUGUAGGCGGCCAGGUAGGUCCGUUGUGAAAACUCGAGGCUCAACCUCGAGACGCCGAUGGAAACCAUCUGGCUAGAGUCCGGAAGAGGAGAGUGGAAUUCCUGGUGUAGCGGUGAAAUGCGCAGAUAUCAGGAAGAACACCCGUGGCUAAGGCGGCUCUCUAGUACGGUACUGACGCUGAGACGCGAAAGCGUGGGGAGCGAACGGG